UGUGGGCCCGAGAGUCCACAGAUGCUUGUCAGGAGACAGGCAGUCAGUCUACCGUUGGAGGUAAACAAAUUAGGGUACAGCUUAGGCUAGAAGAAAAACGUCCUGCUAAACUACGGACAACGGAAUGUGCCUCUUGAGAUCAUGUGUUGGAUACACGUGUUCUUAAAACAGCCCCGCCGC
ensembl:misc_RNA